GAUGAACGCUGGCGGCGUGCUUAACACAUGCAAGUCGAACGACGCACUUUAUUUGAUUUCCUUCGGGACUGAUUAUUUUGUGACUGAGUGGCGGACGGGUGAGUAACGCGUGGGUAACCUGCCUUGUACAGGGGGAUAACAGUUGGAAACGGCUGCUAAUACCGCAUAAGCGCACAGCAUCGCAUGAUGCAGUGUGAAAAACUCCGGUGGUAUAAGAUGGACCCGCGUUGGAUUAGCUAGUUGGUGAGGUAACGGCCCACCAAGGCGACGAUCCAUAGCCGACCUGAGGGGGUGACCGGCCACAUUGGGACUGAGACACGGGCCAAACUCCGACGGGAGGCAGCAGUGGGGAAUAUGGAACAAUGGGCGAAAGCCUGAGGCCGCGACGCCGCGUGAGCGAAGAAGUAUUUAGGUAUGUAAAGCCCUAACAGCAGGGAAGAUAAUGACGGGACCUGACUAAGAAGCACCGGCUAAAUACGU
rnacentral:rRNA from 1 species